GGCUCCGUAGUACAAUGGAUAGUAUUAGGGUUUCCGAAGCCCUCGAUUCAGGUUCGAUUCCUGACGGAGCUA
rnacentral:tRNA from 2 species